rnacentral:rRNA from 1 species
GGGUAACGGCCCACCUAGUCAACGAUGGAUAGGGGUUCUGAGAGGAAGGUCCCCCACAUUGGAACUGAGACACGGUCCAAACUCCUACGGGAGGCAGCAGUGAGGAAUAUUGGUCAAUGGGCGAUGGCCUGAACCAGCCAAGUAGCGUGAAGGAUGACUGCCCUAUGGGUUGUAAACUUCUUUUAUAAAGGAAUAAAGUCGGGUAUGCAUACCCGUUUGCAUGUACUUUAUGAAUAAGGAUCGGCUAACUCCGUGCCAGCAGCCGCGGUAAUACGGAGGAUCCGAGCGUUAUCCGGAUUUAUUGGGUUUAAAGGGAGCGUAGAUGGAUGUUUAAGUCAGUUGUGAAAGUUUGCGGCUCAACCGUAAAAUUGCAGUUGAUACUGGAUGUCUUGAGUGCAGUUGAGGCAGGCGGAAUUCGUGGUGUAGCGGUGAAAUGCUUAGAUAUCACGAAGAACUCCGAUUGCGAAGGCAGCCUGCUAAGCUGCAACUGACAUUGAGGCUCGAAAGUGUGGGUAUCAAACAGGAUUAGAUACCCUGGUAGUCCACACGGUAAACGAUGAAUACUCGCUGUUUGCGAUAUACGGCAAGCGGCCAAGCGAAAGCGUUAAGUAUUCCACCUGGGGAGUAC